rnacentral:rRNA from 1 species
AGCGAACGCUGGCGGCAGGCCUAACACAGGCAAGUCGAACGGAUCCUUCGGGAUUAGUGGCGGACGGGUGAGUAACACGUGGGAACGUGCCCUUUGGUUCGGAACAACUCAGGGGAACUUGAGCUAAUACCGGAUGUGCCCUUCGGGGGAAAGAUUUAUCGCCAUUGGAGCGGCCCGCGUCUGAUUAGCUAGUUGGUGAG